GCCACCGUAGCUCAAUUGGCAGAGCAGCGGUUUUGUAAACCGCAGGUUAUGAGUUCGAGUCUCAUCGGUGGCU
rnacentral:tRNA from 1 species